GGUGAGGUGGGUGAGAGGCUGAAACCACCAGUUUGCUAAACUGGCGUACGGGAAACUGUACCGCGGGUUCGAAUCCCGCCCUCACCG
rnacentral:tRNA from 3 species